UCUUCUGCUGACUUGGCAGGGGACCCUUCGCAGAGGAAGGGAGCGCUGGGGGAGAGGGAAGGGUGAAGGCACCAGGGCCAAGCCCAUGGGGGCUCCCUGAGACAGCCAUGAGGGUCCCGUGGGCCUGGGGGUUCACAGGCAACCUCCCAGAGGGGGACCCAUGCCCUAGGAUUGGGGUCUCUUCAGCCUCCCUGGCUGGAAGCCAUGGGCACCCCCAGCACCGUCCCUUCCUCUCUCCCGGGAUCUGAGCCAAGUGGGCUCAGAACGUUGGGCCCAGGGACAGGAGGCAGGACACAUGCCUGGGGGCCCGGCCUGAGCCCCAGCCUGCUCUGCUCCAUCUGCUCCUCUAGUCUCCUCAGGACCUGGGAGGGGACAGCAAGGGUGAGAUGUUCGGGUCCAAGAAAGAGGUCACUUCUCGGCCCUGGUGCUUUCUCUCUCCAUCCCUAACUGGGUGGAUAACCCAACAGCUAACCCGGACAGUAACCCCAGAGAGGACCCCAGGGGUGACCCCCUGAGCCCAGAGCCAGGCUCAUGACUGACCCUGCCACCUCCACAAGCUGCAUGCAAGGGAUAUGCUGGUGCCUUUGGGACAGUCUGCACAGGAGUGCAGGGAGGUGCCCGUUCUUCCGAGCAGAAGCACUGGACUCCUAGGCUGACCCCUCCCCGUUCUACAACCCAGGCCAGCCUGAGCUCCAAGCACACCUGGAGCUGGGGCCUGGGGCACAGAGGACAGAGACCCUCUGCCAGCCCUCACGUUCUGCCCUGUCUUCCUCUGCCUCUCUCUCUGUCUCUUUCUCCGUCGCUGUAUCUCUCUGUCACUGUGUCUUUCUGCCCGUCUCUCUGUCUCUAUCUUUCUGUCUCUGUCUUUCUCUGUCACUGUAUCUGUCUCUGUGUCUUUUUGUCUCUCUGUCUCUUUCUAUCUCUGUCUCUGUCUUUCUGUCUUUUCUUUCUCUGUCGCUGUAUCUCUCUGUCUCUGUGUCUGUCUCUGUCUCUCUGUGUCCGUCUCUCUCUGUCUCUGCCUGUCCCUGUUGUUACUUGUUACAUCCAGCCACACAUGCAGUGACUGCUUCUCAGCUCUCACACUUGUCUAGGCCCUAACCUGGGGGUGGGGGGGCCCAGCCACAACUUGGGGGAAAUAGACAAGGUUGGUGACAGCCCCAGGUCAGAGUGACAAGUGGCCUAGGGAAGGGAAAGUGGGCAUCUGCUGGAGGAGUUGAGGGUGGUGCCCACUCAGGGUGUGUGAGCUGGGCCAGGGGAAGGGAAAGUGGGCAUCUGCUGGAGGGCUUCAGGGUGGUGCCCACUCAGGGUGUGUGAGCCAGGCCAGGGCUGCCCAGCUGGGAUGGGAGUCACAGGCUGCUGGCCAGGAGCCACCCAGGCUCCGUUCCAGUGGCAGAAGGUGGUGACGCGGCAAAAGGCCUCUGCCAACCCCCACGGGCCACUUGGCCACACCAGGGCAGGUGCGGUUGGCCCUUCGAGUGCCCAGAGGAGGCCCUGAGCCCUGGAGAAGAAGCCCCGCAGACCUCCAGCCGGCUGGAAAGGGG
rnacentral:lncRNA from 1 species